UACGGAGGGUGCGAGCGUUGUCCGGAAUCAUUGGGCGUAAAGGGCGCGUAGGUGGCCCGGUAAGUUCGUGGUGAAAGCGCGGGGCUCAACCCUGCGUCGGCCAUGAAUACUGCCGCGGCUGGAGCACUGUAGAGGCAGGCGGAAUUCCGGGUGUAGCGGUGGAAUGCGUAGAGAUCCGGAAGAACACCGGUGGCGAAGGCGGCCUGCUGGGCAGUUGCUGACACUGAGGCGCGACAGCGUGGGGAGCAAACAGG
rnacentral:rRNA from 1 species